rnacentral:rRNA from 1 species
AUGGCCUCUCCUACCUUAUCGAGCACCCACCUCCCCCCAACGCCGAUUCCCAGUACCUUGAGCUCGACGCCCAUGUCACUCUGGGGUGUAUGCCACUCUUGCGGACUCCAUCAUCGACCACGUCAUCGGCGCCACCACCACCUACGAUCUCUGGACCCGGAUCAACGCCUACUUCCUCGCCAACCGCGCUGCUCGGUACAUGACGCUCAACCGGCAGUACCGCAAUCUCAAGCAGGGAGAUCUCUCGGUCGCCGAGUAUGCGCGGCGCAUGAAGCUGCUCACUGCUGGCCUCGCCGACAUCGACCACGCCGUCACCGAGGUCGACCUCACCACCCAGUUCCUCCAUGGCCUUGA